GUUACGUGGUUGCAGUGUUGGCAUUUGUGUUGUGAACCGGCCUCUGUCGCUCGUGACAUGCAGAAGUAGAAUCCCUUGUCUAGAAAGUCUCAUCAGCUGUCAUUCAGUCACAGUGCUGUCUUGGACUGGAUAGAUCAGACUUUACAAGGCUAGUUAACUGUUCUCGGACCACACAAUGCAACUGUUGUUUAUUCAAUACAUGCCGCUCAUAUAACUACAGUAACAACUCACCAAUAUCCCCCCAGCUGACUAAAGGGAGACUCAACGCUUCGUGGAAAGUUCUCCGCGAUUAAUAGAGAAACCCCCUUGUAAACUCGUUUCAAAGUUGGCAGAUAACUACGAAAAUAAGUGAAACGGGUUCAGAGAGUGGGAGAUGAAGUUUAUGAAGACAAAUCCUGCCACUAGAUACGUCACAGCCCGUUCACCCAAAGUCCAUGUCCCUCGCUCUCUUUUCCGUGUCUACUAUCGCAUUCUUUCCAGACUCUUCCUCCGGCUGUUCGCAAAGUUCAUGAUACCCUAUACGGGCAUUGUAACGAGGGGCGAAGGACUAACAAAUUUACGGUCUGGUGGAACUUACCACGCGCAAGUCAGCGUCUCUCCCUCGCAGCUAAAUCUUUUGGCCUUCGCCAUACUCUUCGGCUAAUCCAUUGAUGGCGACGAGCUGUACCUGCGAGAUGAAUGCUUACCGCCACGCAAAGAGAAAGGGCAGUUUGCACCAUUUGUUACAACAACCAUGUAAAAUGGGAGCUAGCCAAUCUUUGGUACAGACUGUGCUUUCGGCAGCUCUAACUUGGCCACGGAGUUGUGCUUUUGCAGAGAGAAAGUAUUUUCUUUCCUCAGAAUAUUCAGUAUUGGAGCAGUUGACAAUGAUGUUUGUUACACUGGACAAAAAUACAUUUUGUAACCGUGGAACAAAAAUAUAUUACCCUCUCUCUGAUUUGUAUUGUAGUUAACAAACAAAUAUUUCACCAUGCUGACCAGGAUUAUUGGAUGAAGAAGAAAAAUGGCAACCACGGAGAUAGCUUGGCGUCUGACGGUCACUGCAAACAACGUAUUUUAUGUGCCGCUGAAGCCAUUGAAGAGAGAACAGACCUGCACUAGCAUUACAGGUCGACUACACCACACCAGAGAUUUACGACACUUUUACGAGCGGUCCAGCCAUCAGGUCUGCAAGGGAAAAUGAGCCCUUCCACCUCUCCUCUCUUUCUGGGUUGCCUCCGACAUGUAAAUCAUCCAGCCAAUAGAGAAUACCUCCCUGCUGCUCUGGCUUUUUCACGUACCGAUUUCACACAAACCAUGAUAAACUCUGGUUUACCUCUCAUCCCCUUUGAUUGAUUGUUUACUGCUGUUGCGUAAUGCGCGACUUGUUAAACAGAAUUUACUUUCUACAAGCAAUUUUUAAUAUUUUAAUUGCAGAUUACAAGCUAAAUUGUACUUAUAACGUUAAAUUAUUUAUUUCAAACCUUUCAUUAAUGCAGUCUUGCAUAAUGCUUCGGUUAAGUUAAUCGUAAAAUCAGUCUUAUAUCUGUUACGUUUAAUAACUUCUUAACAGACACACGAAUGAUAGUGUUCUGCAAGAAUUGACAAGAAAGGUACAUGUAGGAUUUCAGGUUUUCACUGCGGUGAGUCCGAAGAUGGCUGACUUCAAGAAAGGUACACUCUUUGGAAUAAAUUGAAAUUCCAAAGGCGUUUUAUACGCGAUCUCAACGGCGAUAUCAGCAGGACAACCCAGGAAACACCAAAUGCAACAACAGUAUCCAAGGUCUCCGCUGUUUUGCAGAUCAUUGUUGUAACAAUGAGAUCCAAGGUCACAAUUGGAUAAGAGACAAACAUGAAAGGGCCCACUAGGUUAAAUGUUCUUCGCAUAUGCGAACGCGUAAAGAACAUGUAAAAUCAAAUCAUUAUUUUUAUUACCUUAAUUAAUUUUUUUAUUAUUUAGGAAAUGUACGCAUAACGAAAAAAUUCAGGCGUGCUGAAUCUGUUGUUGUUCCUUCAUUUUAAAUUCGCGAAUGCUAAGUUUGAUGCUCUCUUAGAGAUAGCGUAAAAGAGGCAGGGGUGACAAACAGCUGUAACACAAAAUCUGAACAAAAUCGGUUAUCGAAUAAUGAGAUGACACAUAGAAUUCCCUUUUGUUGUCAAACCAUUAAGCUUAUCUGGAGAUUGUGCUGGGCAUAAGCUUUGUGUUUUUCCUUUUUCUCUUAGAAGUCUGCCGACGUUUCAGAGGUGCACACUGCCACCAAUAUCAGGGAGAUGAGACAACCGCGAGCAAGAGAAGAUGGCGGAAAAACAGGAGGAGGUUGGAGCAUGUUGAAAAUUUGUCAGACCAAAAGAUAAGGAGGGGAUUAGACUCUUGAGACCGAGUAUCAUCGCCCUGAUGAUGGAGGCAGGAACCACCUCCAGAACGUCAACUUCUACGAGACUUCACAGCUUAAUAUCCCAGAAUUUUGUCAUUUUAAAUUUCACUCCCUUCUCUCUUCUUCGAAGUAUAUCGAGAUGAGCCAAAAAGAAUUGUGCAGGCAUAGGUCUUUGUGUAAAAUGUCCACUGUUGUCCGAUUUUAGACAUAAAAUGUAUCGAUAUAAUUUAGUAAAACUCUAAUAUUAAAUUUAAUUAAAUUUC